GACGGAGGGUGCAAGCGUUGCUCGGAAUCACUGGGCGUAAAGCGCGUGUAGGCGGCUCGGUAAGUCUGCUGUGAAAGUCCAGGGCUCAACCCUGGGAUGCCGGUGGAUACUGUCGAGCUCGAGUCCGGAAGAGGCGAGUGGAAUUCCUGGUGUAGCGGUGAAAUGCGCAGAUAUCAGGAGGAACACCAAUGGCGAAGGCAGCUCGCUGGGACGCGACUGACGCUGAGACGCGAAAGCGUGGGGAGCAAACAGG
rnacentral:rRNA from 1 species